GAAAACCCUAAUUGUUGAAGUGUCUCUCUUUUCUCCUCCCUCGAGCAGCUUUCUCUCUUCUUUUCUCUCCAUUCCGUCCUCUCUCAACCAUGAAAUCCUAACCGUUUUCUCAUGUUUUCUUUGUAGUUUUUCAGUUUCGUCUUCCUCUUCAAUGGAUUCUCGGUAUCGUUCAUAAACUAACAGAUUAAUGUGUUGGAUAUAUGGAAUCAAAAAUAAAUUUCUAUUUAAUUUUUUGUAUAAAUUCUUGGAGUACCAUCACAGAUUGAACUCAGUCAAGGAGAUUUAUGGAAACAACAAGAUUUGUAUUAAUUGAUUAUUUUAGAUUUAGAUGUUGACUAAUGUAAAACAUUAUAUUGUAAAAUCAUAUAAUGCAAUUACACCAUAUUUGUAUUCCUUA